UACGGAGGGUGCAAGCGUUAAUCGGAAUACUGGGCGUAAAGCGCACGCAGGCGGUCUGUCAAGUCGGAUGUGAAUCCCCGGGCCUCAACCUCGGGAACUGCAUUCGAAACUGGCAGGCUAGAGUCUUGUAGAGGGGGGUAGAAUUCCAGGUGUAGCGGUGAAAUGCGUAGAGAUCUGGAGGAAUACCGGUGGCGAAGGCGGCCCCCUGGACAAAGACUGACGCUCAGGUGCGAAAGCGUGGGGAGCAAACAGG
rnacentral:rRNA from 1 species